GCAAACUUGGUCAUUUAGAGGAAGUAAAAGUCGUAACAAGGUUUCCGUAGGUGAACCUGCGGAAGGAUCAUUACCAAAUCCAAAAAAACUUUAUCAACACCCAAUGUGAACUGAGAGUGGUUUCGUUCCCCUCCUUCUUCCUUCUUUCCUGCUCUUUCUUAAAGAGUGGGGAUGAGGGGUUGGCGGGAGGGGAAUGCCUUUUUUUAACCCCUUUACAACUAUACAACCAUUAUUUAUGCUGAAAGCAAAACAAAAACGAAACAUGAGACAACUUUUAACGGUGGAUCUCUUGGCUCGUGCAUCGAUGAAGAACGCAGC
rnacentral:misc_RNA from 1 species